CUGUGCUGGGCAUCCAUCCCGAGGGAGACCUGAGGAUCGCAUGCGCCAGUCCCAGCCGACUUCCUCAAUCCCAGGCUGUUCUGCUCCCCACAAGUCCUCAUCAUGAUAACUAAGAGAUAACUCUUAGCAUGCUCUCCAGGAACCCCAGGAAGACCUUGCUAAUCAAGGUGUGGUUAGCCCCAUCAGCAUCACCUGGGAGCCUGGAAGCAACGCAGAAUCUCCGCUCCACCCCAGAGCUACUGGAUCUCCAGCUGAUCCACACGCACACUUAGUCUGAGACAUGCUGGUGUAGGAGAAGCUCCUUAUUCGAGGGUGGUAUGUGUCUGCCUCAGGGCCCAGACUGUGAGCCCCUUGAUGGCAGAAUGAUGUACAGUGUUCACCAGUGUUCACCCUGCACAUCCACUGUCUAGAGAGCAUCAGGCAUAUAGUAGAUGCUCAAUCAUCAUCCUGCAGGACUUUGCAAACAGCUUCUCCGGAUGGACGGAUGGAUGCGGCUGCUCCCUCCUCCCUGCACACUUUCUAUUCCCAGCCCUGAGCCUCCGCCAGGGUUCCUCAGGAAAAUUGGCUGAAAGAGACAUUUUCCAUACUCUUGACUCCUCUGCUGGGUAGCUGUCCCUGCCUCCACUCUCUCCAGCCCGUCACCAGGACCCAGAAGGAGGGGAAAUACUUGGUCAACUGGUUGCUGCUUCCUGACCCCUUAAUUCUGUAUGCCAUUUUAUCUUCAUGGGCCUCAGUUUCUUAAUCUAUGAAAUGAGCUAGCUACCCUGAGAAGCAGGCUUGGGAGUCAGGCUUUUUUUUAGAUUUUAUUUUUAAGUAAUCUCUACACCCAACAUGGGGCUCAAAUCCACAACCCCUAGAUCAAGAGUUGCAUGCUCUACCAACGGAGCCAGCCAGGCGCUCCAGGAGUCAGACAUUCCUGAUUUAAUCCUUAGCUCACUAACUGUGAGCUACUGUGUGACUUUGGACAAGAUCCUCAACAUCUUGGAGGCUCAGUUUUCCCCAUCUGUAGAUAGUGUUCUCUCUUACUGUUGUGAGGAUUAAUGAAAUAAGCUGAGGAAAGGAUUUAGCUCAGCACUUUGCACAUGGCAAGUGUCAAUGAGUACCUAUUUUUUAAUUAAUUAAUUAAUUAAUCAAUCAGAGCCUACUUGGUGCCAGAUGCUGUGUUAGGGGCUUUAUGUACCCGAUUUCUAAUCCAUACAAGACCUGUGCAAAGUGCUUGUCAUCCCCUUUGUAAAACUGAGGGUCCAAAGUUUCAGAGAAGCUAAGUAACACGUUCAAGGUCACAGAUAUCAAAUGGCUGAGCCAGAGGGAUUCAAACUCAGAUCUGACUCAUUCCGGCUUUCCUAUUCUAACCAAGGCUCUGGUAAGUAGAAGAAAGAACACCCCCCUGCUUCAGGCAUAUAAUGAAGAGCAGAAUGGCUUUGGCUGAGAUUUUAAUCCAGCCCUUACAAACUGUAAUUUCAAAGCUUCAACUGGGGUUUUGGGCAGCUAAGGGGCACAGUCAUUGAGAGGAAUAUUGUUUAAUUUUGUUACAAUUAGGGAAAUGCAAAGUAAGCAAUGAGGCAUCUUCGUUUCCAACCUUCCCUCAUCCUGUGCCCAAGAAAAUGUCAAACGAGAAAAAACUAGUGAUAUCUAAUGUGGUUCAUGGUGUGGGGAAUUGGGCAUUUUUAGUUUGAAUAUAAACAAAAGCAGUCCUUUUGGAGGGCAAUUUGGCAGCGUCUGACAAAACAUAAAA